UAUUAGGUUAAUGCAAAAGUAAUUGCGGUUUUUGCCAUUGCUUUCAAUGGCAAAAAUUUCAAUUACUUUUGCACCAAC
rnacentral:miRNA from 1 species